AUGAACGCUGGCGGCGUGCCUAAUACAUGCAAGUCGAGCGAACAGAUGAGGAGCUUGCUCCCCUGACGUUAGCGGCGGACGGGUGAGUAACACGUGGAUAACCUACCUAUAAGACUGGGAUAACUUCGGGAAACCGGAGCUAAUACCGGAUAAUAUAUUGAACCGCAUGGUUCAAUAGUGAAAGACGGUUUUGCUGUCACUUAUAGAUGGAUCCGCGCCGCAUUAGCUAGUUGGUAAGGUAACGGCUUACCAAGGCAACGAUGCGUAGCCGACCUGAGAGGGUGAUCGGCCACACUGGAACUGAGACACGGUCCAGACUCCUACGGGAGGCAGCAGUAGGGAAUCUUCCGCAAUGGGCGAAAGCCUGACGGAGCAACGCCGCGUGAGUGAUGAAGGUCUUCGGAUCGUAAAACUCUGUUAUUAGGGAAGAACAAAUGUGUAAGUAACUAUGCACGUCUUGACGGUACCUAAUCAGAAAGCCACGGCUAACUACGUG
rnacentral:rRNA from 1 species